UGUUGUAGAGAUGGUACAUUGGCUGUGGAUUAUUCUUGCUGCUCUCUCCUUUGAGUGUAAAGGACAAGACACAGUGACCCAGACACCAGGAGAAGUCAGCGCUACUGAAGGAGACACAGUUACACUUGACUGCACAUUUAGGACAACUGACAAAUAUCCCUAUCUGUUCUGGUACAAACAAGAAGUCAAUGAUCUGCCUUUGUAUAUUCUGCGACGUGAUACUUAUGGAACAGAAGAGAAUGCUGCAGAGUUCCAGAAAGACAGAUUUGAUGCUACACUCAACGAGACAUCAGUUCCUCUGCAGAUCUCCUCUGCUGCAGUGACAGACUCUGCUGUGUACUACUGUGCUCUGAGGCCCACAGUGACAGGAAACACCAACACUCUGUACAAAAACCUCUGGAGCAAAGACAACACAAUACUGAUCAACAUCCACCAGAGGGAGUCUCUCUCUGUCAGACUUCAGCAGGAUGAACUCAUGAGCAACUAA